rnacentral:lncRNA from 13 species
UCUGCACUCCACGUGGGAAAACUUUGCAUGUCAUGAGUAUCAUUACAACAACCUCAUAUAAUGUGAAACUAUUGAAUCUCUUUGCAGGAUAUUAAAUGAAGGUGUGCCCCGCGUGGAGGUGACUGAGUCUGAUGGAAAGGACUGUGUGAGUCACCUGCCUCCCCAGACUUCAGACAGCCUGGCUGACUGGCAGAGGAUCGCUGAGUUUUACAUAGAGAAGCCCAGGAUGAUGCUUCAUGGACAGGCGACCUCUCUGUGUUCCAACGAGCUGAAGAUGUUCUGGCACCCAGCGCCUCCUAAGUUCAGCUGCUCUCCUGCAUUCGUCAAACACAAACUCUUUCCCAAGUACCAGGCAACGCGGAAAGAUCUCUCCAGAGAGGAGCUCUAUGGUGAUCUACAGGACCUGGUGGAAUCAGCCUGUGACCUGACAGAGAUGGAGCCAACCACCUCAGUGGAAAAUGUGCUGUCCAGAAAGUUCAAGUCUAUGAUAGACCUCAGAGUAACUGAGCAGUCACCUCAACCCUACAUUGACGAAGAACAGGUGAGUGUAUAUGAAAAAUGUCAUGUCGUUCAAUAACAUGAUAAACCACUAUCUCACCA